rnacentral:rRNA from 1 species
GAUGAACGCUGGCGGCGUGCCUAAUACAUGCAAGUCGAGCGAACAGACGAGGAGCUUGCUCCUCUGACGUUAGCGGCGGACGGGUGAGUAACACGUGGAUAACCUACCUAUAAGACUGGGAUAACUUCGGGAAACCGGAGCUAAUACCGGAUAAUAUAUUGAACCGCAUGGUUCAAUAGUGAAAGACGGUUUUGCUGUCACUUAUAGAUGGAUCCGCGCCGCAUUAGCUAGUUGGUAAGGUAACGGCUUACCAAGGCAACGAUGCGUAGCCGACCUGAGAGGGGGAUCGGCCACACUGGAACGGAGACACGGUCCAGACUCCUACGGGAGGCAGCAGUAGGGAAUCUUCCGCAAUGGGCGAAAGCUUGACGGAGCAACGCCGCGUGAGUGAUGAAGGUCUUCGGAUCGUAAAACUCUGUUAUUAGGGAAGAACAAAUGUGUAAGUAACUAAUCACGUCUUGACGGUACCUAAUCAGAAAGCCACGGCUAACUACGUG